rnacentral:pre_miRNA from 11 species
UGAAAGACAUGGGUAGUGAGAUGUUCUCACGCUAUCGCGUCUCACUAUCUUGUCUUUC